GCUGGGCAUGGUGGCAUAUGCCUGUAAUCCCAGUGGUUUAGGAGGCUGGGGCAGGAGGAUCACAAGUUAAAAGCCAGCCUCAGCAAUUUAUUUAGUGAGGCCCUAAGCAAUUUAGUGAGAACUUGUCUCAU
rnacentral:sRNA from 1 species